rnacentral:lncRNA from 1 species
UCCCUAAGAGCUUGCUCUCUUUCUCUCUCUCUCUCUCUCUCUCUCUGUUCCAGAUCACUAUCAGUACUUUUAGUUGCUACUCUUCUCUUGAACAAGAAAAGUUGCAAUAAAAUCUGCUUUUUUUUUUUCUUAGCUUCAACAAAAACCAUAGUUUUUUCAUCACCUAUGUUUUACAGAAUUUCUACAGGUUUGUCUCCUUUGGAGUAUUAGUCAACUUAGAGAAUAGUCUGCUGAUCACCUCUGGGUGCUCCACCCAAUUUGUCCAACAGCCACAGAUAAUCCAACUUUUAAAACUUUGAAGCCAAACUUUGAAUUUCCUCUGUAAAAAAAUGCACUGAGCAUAAGGGUUUGCUGUUCCUUUAAUGGCAAUCCUAGGCAUAUUAGCUUCUUCCUUUUAUGGUCCAAAAUCCAAAUCCAGUUUGCAAGACAGCUUUAUCUAAAAUUAAAUAUUUGAGUUAUCUGAGACAAAUUUUUUCUUUAUCUAUGUUAUCCAUUAGUCUCCCAGGAGUAGCACAUAAUACAUCAUAGUCUUAUAGUGUCUGAAUGAGGAAGGAAGGAGAUAAAGUUCUUGUUUGGGCAUUCUGCUAGGCAACUGAUACAGUUCUUUGGUUUUAUCUUUAUACAUUUGUAGAAAGGGAGAUUAUUAUUUUCACUUUACAUGCAAUGAAACAGAAGCUCAGAUAGGUUAGAAAAUUUAUCUUACAAGUGGUAGAGGCAGGGAUCCAACUAAGCUCUGUCUGAUUUCAAAGUUCACAUUCCUUUCAUUACACUGAGUCCUCUGUUUAUUGUGUAGAGUUAUCUGGCACUUCAUUGGCUUCCACUAAUAUUUGUUGACUAGAUGAGGAGACGAAUGAAUGGAUGAUUGAAAGAAACCAUCUGAGGCUUUGUGGACAAUGCUAAUCUGAGAAAUAGAAAUGCUAAUAGGAGUCUUUAUAAAAUUGUUCUGCAUUUCUAAGUGGUCCCAUCUCUUCUACCAAAGAGAGGCUCUUCUGCCCUUCCCAAGAGUGAAAAGAGAACCACUGUGUUCCAGUAUACCUACAAUUAGGACAGACGUCACCCCAAAUUGGAAGCCUUUCUUCAAACAGUGCUGACUGGAUCUAGGAAGACUUCCCAGGAAAGACUGAAGCUAGUUUCCUGGCACCCCAACUCAUCCAUGAGUAAGGAAAUUACUCCCCAGGACAAGGAUAAAAUAAGGAUUUUAUCAUGGCAUUCCAACUAGAUCACGUAAGUGUUAAGUACAUCUGCACACGUAGAAUGAAACAAAUACAAAGCAAUUAACUAUUAUUCCUACAACAUACCUCAUUUCUCUGGAAAUUUUCUUAUACUUUUUGGGAGGAUUAAAUUAUCUGGAUGAGCAUUUUCCAUUUACCCCCUACUUAUUAGAACCACUUGAUUUUAGUGAAGUGUUCUCAACUAGAACGUUCCUGAGGACCAUAUCCAGAUCAAGCAGCCAACCAAGGGCAUUUUCACAUGCAACAAAAACUGUGCUAAAUGCCACCAAGGGCACCAAUGCUAUUUCUAGGACUUAGGCUGCGCUGGGGAAGAUGUGGCCAUCCAUAAGCACCUCACAAUCAUUGCAAAGUUUUCAUAGGAAUGACAAUAUUGAAACCACACAUUUUUAUACACUUGUUAUUUGAUAUACUACAUGAACUGACAUACUACUCUUUGAUAUCUAUAUCUAUAUCUAUAUCUAUAUCUAUAUCUAUAUCUAUCUAUCUCUCUCUAUAUAUAUAUCUUCCUAUUUUU